rfam:Flavobacterium fryxellicola strain DSM 16209 FBFR01, whole genome shotgun sequence.
GUAUAGCCCUGAUGGCAGUGAUAUCCUCUUGUGGAGUGGUAACGCAACAAGAGAUUUAACGAACAGCAGGAGGAAAC